rnacentral:rRNA from 1 species
UACGGAAGGCAGCAGUGGGGAAUAUUGCACAAUGGGCGAAAGCCUGAUGCAGCUAUGCCGCGUGUAUGAAGAAGGCCUUAGGGUUGUAAAGUACUUUUCAUCGGGGAGGAAAAAACAAAACUAAUAAUUUUAUUUCUUGACGUUACCCGAAAAAGAAGCACCGGCUAACUCCGUGCCAGCAGCCGCGGUAAUACGGAGGGUGCUAGCGUUAAUCAGAAUUACUGGGCGUAAAGAGCACGUAGGUGGUUUUUUUAAGUCAGAUGUGAAAUCCCUGGGCUUAACCUAGGAACUGCAUUUUGAAACUGAAAUACUAGAGUAUCGUAGAGGGAGUAGAAUUCUAGGUGUAGCGGUGAAAUGCGUAGAUAUCUGGAGGAAUACCUGUGGCGAAAGCGGCCUCCUAAACGAAUACUGACACUGAGGGUGCGGAAAGCGUGGGGAGCAAAACAGGGAUUAGAUACC